rnacentral:rRNA from 2 species
UACGGAGGGUGCAAGCGUUAUCCGGAUUCACUGGGUUUAAAGGGUGCGUAGGCGGGUAGGUAAGUCAGUGGUGAAAUCUCAGAGCUUAACUCUGAAACUGCCAUUGAUACUAUUUAUCUUGAAUAUUGUGGAGGUAAGCGGAAUAUGUCAUGUAGCGGUGAAAUGCUUAGAUAUGACAUAGAACACCCAUUGCGAAGGCAGCUUACUACGCAUAUAUUGACGCUGAGGCACGAAAGCGUGGGGAUCAAACAGG